rnacentral:rRNA from 1 species
CAGUCGCCGCGGGAAUACAGAGGGUGCGAGCGUUAAUCGGAUUUACUGGGCGUAAAGCGUGCGUAGGCGGCUUUUUAAGUCGGAUGUGAAAUCCCUGAGCUUAACUUAGGAAUUGCAUUCUAUACUGGGAAGCUAGAGUAUGGGAGAGGAUGGUAGAAUUCCAGGUGUAGCGGUGAAAUGCGUAGAGAUCUGGAGGAAUACCGAUGGCGAAGGCAGCCAUCUGGCCUAAUACUGACGCUGAGGUACGAAAGCAUGGGGAGCAAACAGGAUUAGAGACCCCCGUAGUCCCUGUCUCUUAUCC